UAGACGGAAAGACCCCGUGCACCUUUACUACAACUUCACACUGGCAUUAGGCCGAACAUGUGCAGGAUAGGUGGUGGGCUUUGAAGCGUGGACGCCAGUCUGCGUGGAGCCUCCCUUGAGAUACCACCCUUGUUCUGCUUGAUGUCUAACCGCGGUCCGUUAUCCGGAUCCGGGACCCUGUGUGGUGGGUAGUUUGACUGGGGCGGGCCCCUCCCAAAUAGUAACGGAG
rnacentral:rRNA from 1 species